rnacentral:hammerhead_ribozyme from 1 species
GCACAACUGAUGAGUCCCACAAAAGGACGAAACGGCAGUCCAGUAC